rnacentral:rRNA from 1 species
CCUACGGGGGGCUGCAGUAGGGAAUAUUGCUCAAUGGGGGAAACCCUGAAGCAGCAACGCCGCGUGGAGGAUGAAGGUUUUCGGAUGGUAAACUCCUGUUGGUAGAGAAGAAAAUGACGGUAUCUAACGAAUAAGCACCGGCCAACUCCGGGCCAGCAGCCGCGGUAAUACGGAGGGUGCAAGCUUUACGCGGAAUCACUGGGCGUAAAGAGAGCGUAGGCGGGAUGGCAAGUCAGAUGUGAAAUCCUCUGGCUUAACCAUAGAACUGCAUUUGAAACUGUUAUUCUAGAGUAUGGGAGAGGUAGGUGGAAUUCUUGGUGUAGGGGUCAAAUCCGUAGAGAUCA